UCUUGUUGUGUGAUUUCUUUGGGGUCUUCCAACUUUUUUCUGCAGAAAAAUCAUGGGCGGUAGGGGAAGCAGCAUAUCAACCAUCUAGCUGCAGUGUUGAUUCACUGAACUUAAGGCAGAUAUUGUUUGAGAGCAGGAUAAUGAGUUGAGGGCGUUAAGGAGGUGUACUGGCUCAUCUCUUUUCAUCUUCUUGUUUUUCUCAUUUUUUGCCUGCUCAAAGAUGGUAGUCAGUGAUGGGGAGUUCACAUAAUUGACAGAGAUCUCAGGAGAUAUCAAACUAAUGUGAAAUGCAAUGAUCA